AGAAUGACAUAACAAUCAGGGGCCCUAGAACAUAAAACAAGGAUGAAGGAUGGUUUGCAAGCACUCUGCUCUUCUGCAUACUGAGCCCAACACGAGACCCCCCUCGCCCCGCCCAGAGAGAAGCACCCACCGAAUGCGACCGGGGAAAGAAACAGGGAAAACCUGGACUUGUUCAUAAGCAGAACCAAAGGUGCCACAGAGAGGCGAGUUUAAGAAAAAAUAGGCUAGAGAAUGCCCCACUGUUAAAAGAAGUUUCUUGAGAAGUCCCCAUUUGGAAAUGGGGAAAGGAACUAUAGCAGAAGAAUGUCUUUGGACAAGUGGAAGAAAACACUGGGAAGGUCAACAGAUGCCUUUUCCUGUGAACAAGAUGUAGAGGGAAAAGGAUGGAUUUCUACCCCCUCCCUCCUGCCACUAUUUCUUUGUCAUCAUUUCCCCUCUGCUUGUCUUGGGGGUUUUGUACUUCAAUUUCCAGCAUUACUCCUAGACCUGUGGUUUUAAAACACUCAUCUCCAAAACCAACCUCUGCCUCUCUACUUGCAAGGAGCUUCAGCUAGUUCUCUAACGCUGGUCAGGAGGUAUCCCCAGUAGGACACUUAAUCCCUCCGACAUCUCACCAUCUCUCAAACUAGCUCUUCUUUCCAAAUAUGCCAUUUCAGAAGUAUCCCAUUCUCAGCUUGCCUUUGUCUUGGAACGUCCAUAUUCUUUAGACUCAAUGUUUUCCAUAUCUUCUCUCUUUUCCUCCUCACUGCCAUCUCCUAGCAGUUUUGAAUGAUCAACGGACACAUGAAGUGUCUUUAAGAUUUAGCUCUUUUCAAAUCACUCUCAAAACAUACAGUUAUUCAGAUUUGAAACUACUGUCGCUCUUCAAGAACUCUCUCAGGAAUCAAAUAAAAUCCAAAUUACUUUACCUGGUUGUCCUAUGACCUUCCAUAAUGUGUAUUUACUUUACCUCUCCUGCUGUAUUUCCCGCUAAUUCCCAACAUAUGGGUAUAGUAGCACGGUGCACGAUCUAGCACCUGAUAAACAGUGAGUUUUGCCACAGGUAAGUUCCUGCCAUGCCAACAUCUUGAUUCCUGUCGGCCUGGAGGCUACGUAAAGGAUACUGGGCGUAUUGUCCAUCGGCCCUUGUUGAUUCAAAAUGUUACCAUGUUCUGCGUGUGCCAUGAUGUGAAAAAAGUUAGGGAACACUGGUGUGGUUGUGAAAAGUGCAAUCAGCCUUAGAUACAUGGUUCUGCCUCUAUCUAUGUCAGUUAAAGUACUUGAUCUCUUGUGUUUUCAAGUUCUUAAUCAAUAAAGUAGGAAAAUAGCAGUGUCUACACUUCAUAGGAAUAUUA